AGCCGUUUGGGAUUUACCAGUGUGGCAGCAGCACAGGGAAGCUGUGAGGAGGCCAGAGACCUGAGAUACAGCUGCCAGCUCAGCCUUCCAAAGCGGCUGCGGAUCCCUUCGCUCCGCGCUGGUGGAGGAGCGAGCAGUUCUGACUUUGAUGUCCCUGUUUUCACUCAGUGGCUGUUGUCUUCUACCUCUUAUUCAUUGAGUUUGAUCGGAGCAUGGAGCCCUUCGCAGAGCCAGAACCAGGGUUUCCUGCAGAAAAGAGCUCAUCGGUGCCACAGAAAAAAUUCUGUGUCCUGGUGGGUGUGACUGGGAGCGUGGCUGCCCUGAAGCUGCCUCUCCUCAUCGCCGAAUUGCUGAAAAUCCCAGGGCUCGAAGUGAAGGUGGUCACUACUGAGAGAGCAAAGCAUUUCUACAAUGCCCAGGAGAUUCCCGUCACCCUCUACAGCGAUGAAGAUGAAUGGCAGCUCUGGAAAGGUCGUUCAGACCCAGUCCUGCACAUCGAACUCAGACGGUGGGCUGAUCUUAUGUUGGUGGCACCUCUUGAUGCAAACACACUGGCAAAGCUCGCAAACGGCAUCUGUGACAACCUGCUGACUUGUGUCAUCCGGGCGUGGGAUCUGAGCAAACCUCUGCUCUUCUGCCCAGCUAUGAACACGGCCAUGUGGGAACAUCCCAUCACAGCUCGGCAGGUGGAGCAGCUGAAAGGCUUUGGCUACACAGAGAUCCCCUGUGUGGUGAAGAAACUAGUGUGUGGAGAUGAAGGCUUUUCACCCCAAGGCCUCUUCUUCCACGCUAAUUUUGGUUUUGUGGGUUUCAUCCACAAAGGGGUUUGCCCAGCUUCCACCCAAGCAGCAGGUAGUGAAGCUCACACAUGUGUGAAAAGAGAUGCAGACAUCUGCAGAAGAAAAGGGAUUCAGUUUGCGCCAGUUUUGUCUGUUGACAUUGUGGUUUGCCUUGCUGUAAAAGAGGUUUAUCUUCCUCCACUCAUGUGGCUGGUCUCACCUGAAACAGGCCAGAUCCUGACUGCCGCCGAGUUUCUGCAUUACCAUUUUAAUCAAAUUUGAUUAAUUUUUCUUCCUUAGUAAGUGGGUGGUUUUGGACAUAGAGUCCAGCUAAAAGAGAGUUAAAAUAACAAGUAGAGCAAACAAUUAAAAUGUUGCCUUGAUUGGAUAGUUAAAGCUAAGCUGCUGGCUGUUGGCCUUGAUGAUACCCAUGUGCCAUGAUAUAAAGAGAGCUUUGAGAGGUGCUGUACCACACACGGGCCUGCAGCAAUUUGCUUUUGCAAAAAUGUUUCCAGACUGCUAGUAUCUUCACCAUCCUUGGCUGGAUUUCUUGAGCCUGGCACACUGGAAGAUUUCUACUUGUAGGCAUGAGCUGUGCUGUCAGACAGGCUCUUUAGCAAGAUUUUGCUCUGCUAAACCUAAAAAUACAGCUGUGAAUUGCCAAAGAUGUUGAGGAAGUGGGUGGUGGGGGGCAAAGGCAGGCCUUGGAAAUGUUCUUGAAGGAUAUAGCUCUGCAAAACCGUGAAGAGGCAGUCGGGGAAUUUCUCUUGUUUAGCAGGACCUGUCAGCUGCAGCUCUUCUUGAGGUUAGGAGAACAGAAGGGCCCAAAUCUGCCUGCGACUUGUCUACAGGAGGCUUCAGACCUCCCAGGAUUUACAGGUCUGAAAAAGGCAUAGUGGAAAAUGGGUCUUACUUUGCAGGGCAACCCAAUUUUCUUUACCUUCCAAAAGUAUCAUUCUUCAUCGCAAAUCCUCAGUUAUAUCCAAUUACACCACCUGUCCCAGACAAGGCUUAUCUGUCUUGGAAAAACGAGGGUCCGGGCAGAUUCAGGGCUGCCCUCUACCCACAGAGAGCACCUCUCCCCGAUGGUCAGGGUGGCCUGUCCCCUUCGCCUCCAUCUCUUGCCUGCCCUCAAGUCGUUACUGUCCUUUGGACUCCGCUGGUUUAGUUCGUCUGUGGGCUCGCUAACCCAGCUGUGGAAGUUGAUCAAAAAAAAGAGGAAAACAAAGCCCUCAGAACUAAUUUCUGAUGACAAAUAAGGCACAUAUUUUAAAUUAUUUGAGCAAUUAGCCAGCAGGACAAAAGAUCAAUAGAUCAUUUUUUCAGUCUUCCAGUGGAGACAAAUGCUGGUGGGAGAAGUAUCUUUCCUCAGCCUCAAGCAAAUUACAGGAGUGAAUGGACUAAGUUCUGAGUGCCGAGUUCAGUGCGUGAGGUUAGAUGAGAUGAUUUAAUGAUCUCUGGCCUUAAAAUUCUGAACCUAAGUUUUAAAAAGUGUUUCAGAGGGAAGCAAUAGCACAGUGCAGAUUAGAUGCUCAUCUGGCAAUGUUCAUUGGAUGUUCAUCUAUCCGGUCCAAAAGGAAAAAGCUUUUACAUUUUGUUCUCUCCAGUACGCAGCCUUCUCCAAGAAUUACUCCCAAGAUUCAAGCUGGUGCAAAUCCAGGACAGCUUUCUCUAAUGUGGGUCUAACUGCAGAGUCAUGGGAAUGGUCGAGGUGCCAUGGCAGAAGUGUGGACCAUUGUGGAGAGCGUGAAAAGGAU